rnacentral:lncRNA from 1 species
GGCGGCGGGCUGGGGCAGGCCGAGGCGGGCCGGGGCUGGGGCGAGUCGCCGCCGAUGGGCGGGGGCAAGCGGAGGCGCGACGGGCAGGGGCGGGGCGCCGGCCGCAGGCCGGGGCAGGCGGGGGCAGGCGGAGGCGGCACUUAGCGCGGCCGGUCUCCGGUAGGGGCAAGCGGAGGCGGCGCGAGGGCAAGGGCGCGGGGCUGGGGCAGGCGGAGGCUAGGCUGCGUCCGAGGUGCCCGCGCCCCCGGGGCCGCUGGAGACGCGGGAGAAGGCGGAGCCGGCCUCGCGGGGUCGAGGCGGAGCUUCGGCGCGGGUCAUCGGGGUCGAGGAGGCCGUGGCGGAGCGGAUCGAGGUGCGGCGGCGGGCCACCGGAGACGAGGAAGACGAGCGCGGUGCGGCCGCUAGAUAGCGCUUCGACGACCAAGCACUUGCGCAAGCGUGCUGAAUGGCGCUGCCGCCCUUUGUGAGUGCGUCGCGGCUGCAGGCGCUGGCCGGAGUGAGGGAGAGGACUCGCCGGAGGGAAAUGGGGGCGCGAGGUGGAGAAGAAAGAAAAAGGGGAGGAGAGAAAAGAAAUGAGAGAAGAGGGGGUUGAUUAGGUAAAUAAG